rnacentral:rRNA from 1 species
GAGUUUGAUCCUGGCUCAGAAUCAACGCUGGCGGCGUGCCUAACGCAUGCAAGUCGAACGGGAUCCUGGCUUCAGUCAGGUGAGAGUGGCGGACGGGUGAGUAACGCGUGGGAACCUGCCCAGUGGUGGGGGAUAACUGCGGGAAACUGCAGCUAAUACCGCAUGAGCCCGAGAGGGGAAAGAUUUAUCGCCAUUGGAGGGGCCCGCGUUCGAUUAGGUAGUUGGUGGGGUAAAGGCCUACCAAGCCGACGAUCGAUAGCUGGUCUGAGAGGAUGAUCAGCCACACUGGGACUGAGAUACGGCCCAGACUCCUACGGGAGGCAGCAGUGGGGAAUAUUGGACAAUGGGGGCAACCCUGAUCCAGCAAUGCCGCGUGAGUGAUGAAGGCCUUC